rnacentral:rRNA from 1 species
AUUGAACGCUGGCGGCAGGCCUCACACAUGCAAGUCGAGCGAGCGGCGGACGGGUGAGGAAUGUAUGGGGACUGCCCGAUAGAGGGGGAUAACUACUGGAAACGGUAGCUAAUACCGCAUACUAUCUGAUAACCCAUAUGGGAUUAGCGCGUUGGUGAGGUAAUGGCUCACCAAGGGGACGAUCACUAGCUGGUCUGAGAGGAUGAUCAGCCACACUGGGACGGAGACACGGCCCAGACUCCUACGGAGGGAGCAGUGGGGGAUAUUGCACAAUGGGCGAAAGCCUGAUGCAGCGACGCCGCGUGGGGGAUGAAGGCUUUCGGGUUGUAAACCUCUUUCGCUAUCGAACGGGUAGGUGGAGAAGAAGCGCCGGCUAACUACGUGCCAGCAGCCGCGGUAAUUC